GACGAACGCUGGCGGCGUGCUUAACACAUGCAAGUCGAACGAUGAACUUGGAGCUUGCUCUGGGGGAUUAGUGGCGAACGGGUGAGUAACACGUGAGUAACCUGCCCUGGACUCUGGGAUAACUUCGAGAAAUCGGAGCUAAUACCGGAUAGGACCUUGCACCGCAUGGUGUGGGGUGGAAAGUUUUUCGGUUUGGGAUGGACUCGCGGCCUAUCAGCUUGUUGGUGAGGUAAUGGCUCACCAAGGCGUCGACGGGUAGCCGGCCUGAGAGGGUGACCGGCCACACUGGGACUGAGACACGGCCCAGACUCCUACGGGAGGCGGCAGUGGGGAAUAUUGCACAAUGGGCGCAAGCCUGAUGCAGCAACGCCGCGUGCGGGAUGACGGCCUUCGGGUUGUAAACCGCUUUUAGUAGGGAGGAAGCCUUCGGGUGACGGUACCUGCAGAAAAAGGACCGGCUAACUACGUGCCAGCCGCCGCAGUAACAC
rnacentral:rRNA from 1 species